CCAGCUCCAAUAGCGUAUAUUAAAGUUGUUGCAGUUAAAACGCUCGUAGUCUGAUGUAAUGGGGAUUGGAGUGGGGAGCAGCGAUGCUCUUUGCCUCGGUCCCCAUCAAGGGGACAGCAAUGUCCCGUUUUACUUUGAGGAAAUUAGAGUGUUCAAAGCAGGCGAUUGCUUGAAUACUGCAGCAUGGAAUAAUGGAAUAGGACUCGCGUCUUAUUUUGUUGGUUUGGAGAUGUGAGUAAUGAUGAAUAGGGACAGUUGGGGGCAUUGGUAUUCAGUAGUCAGAGGUGAAAUUCUUGGAUUUACUGAAGACUAACUAGUGCGAAAGCAUUUGCCAAGGAUGUUUUCA
rnacentral:rRNA from 1 species